AUUGAACGCUGGCGGCAGGCCUAACACAUGCAAGUCGAACGGUAACAGGAAGCAGCUUGCUGCUUCGCUGACGAGUGGCGGGCGGGUGAGUCAUGUCUGGGAAACUGCCUGAUGGGGGGGGAUAACUACUGGAAACGGUAGCUAAUACCGCAUAACGUCGCAAGCCCAAAGAGGGGGACCUUAGGGCCUCUUGCCAUCGGAUGUGCCCAGAUGGGAUUAGCUAGUAGGUGGGGUAACGGCUCACCUAGGCGACGAUCCCUAGCUGGUCUGAGAGGAUGACCGGCCACACUGGAACUGAGACACGGCCCAGACCCCUACGGGAGGCACCAGAGGGGAAUAUUGCACAAUGGGCGCAAGCCUGAUGCAGCCAUGCCGCGUGUAUGAAGAAGGUCUUCGGGUUGUAAAGUACUUUCAGCGGGGAGGAAGGGAGUAAAGUUAAUACCUUUGCUCAUUGACGUUACCCGCAGAAGAAGCACCGGCUAACUCCGUG
rnacentral:rRNA from 1 species